rnacentral:rRNA from 1 species
GACGAACGCUGGCGGCGUGCUUAACACAUGCAAGUCGAACGGAAAGGCCCUGCUUGUGUGUGGUGCUCGAGUGGCGAACGGGUGAGUAACACGUGAGUAACCUGCCCUUGACUUUGGGAUAACUUCAGGAAACUGGGGCUAAUACCGGAUAGGAGCUCCUGCUGCAUGGUUGGGUUUGGAAAGGUUGGGCGGUUGGGGAUGGACUCGCGGGUCAUCAGCUUGUUGGUGGGGUAGUGGCUUACCAAGGCUUUGACGGGUAGCCGGCCUGAGCGGGUGACCGGCCACAUUGGGACUGAGAUACGGCCCAGACUCCUACGGGAGGCAGCAGUGGGGAAUAUUGCACAAUGGGCGGAAGCCUGAUGCAGCAACGCCGCGUGCGGGAUGACGGCCUUCGGGUUGUAAACCGCUUUCGCCUGUGACGAAGCGUGAGUGACGGUAAUGGGUAAAGAAGCACCGGCUAACUACGUG